UACAGAGGCCCCAAGCGUUAGGCGGAAUCACUGGGCUUAAAGCGUGUGUAGGCGGAUCGUUAAGUACCUUGUGAAAUCCCACGGCUCACCCGUGGAACUGCUGGGUAUACUGGCGGUCUUGGGCCAACUAGGGGCAGCUGGAACAAGCGGUGGAGCGGUGAAAUGCGUAGAUAUCGCUUGGAACGCCGAAGGUGAAAACAGGCUGCUGGGGUUGUGCCGACGCUGAGACACGAAAGCCAGGGAGCAAACGGG
rnacentral:rRNA from 1 species